AUAGGUGAACCUGCGGAAGGAUCAUUAAAUGAAGCAACCUAGGAGCCUGAGAUAUGGCCACCGGGCACACCUUCCACCCUUUGUUUAACACACUUUGUUGCUUUGGCAGGCCUGCCUUCGGGCUGCUGGCUCCGGCCGGCGAGCGCCUGCCAGAGGGCCCAAACUCUGUUUGUCUGUAACGUCUGAGUACUAUAUAAUAGUUAAAACUUUCAACAACGGAUCUCUUGGUUCUG
rnacentral:misc_RNA from 1 species